rnacentral:rRNA from 1 species
GAUGAACGCUGGCGGCGUGCCUAACACAUGCAAGUCGAACGGAGUCGUUUUGGAAAUCUCUUCGGAGAUGGAAUUCUCGACUUAGUGGCGGACGGGUGAGUAACGCGUGAGCAAUCUGCCUUUAAGAGGGGGAUAACAGUCGGAAACGGCUGCUAAUACCGCAUAAAGCAUUAAAUUCGCAUGUUUUUGAUGCCAAAGGAGCAAUCCGCUUUUAGAUGAGCUCGCGUCUGAUUAGCUAGUUGGCGGGGUAACGGCCCACCAAGGCGACAAUCAGUAGCCGGACUGAGAGGUUGAACGGCCACAUUGGGACUGAGACACGGCCCAGACCCCUACGGGAGGCAGCAGUGGGGAAUAUUGCGCAAUGGGGGAAACCCUGACGCAGCAACGCCGCGUGAUUGAAGAAGGCCUUCGGGGUGUAAAGAUCUUUAAUCAGGGACGAAACAAAUGACGGUACCUGAAGAAUAAGCUCCGGCUAACUACGUG